rnacentral:lncRNA from 1 species
CACGGCCCUUUCCUUUCCUCAGAGUUCAGGGACUGGGGAGCAACCAUUCUUCAUCAACGAGAGCACAAUCCUACGUGCCAGGCACUGUUCUAAGCAGUUAUGGUGUUGACUCAUUUGAACCCCACUACAAUCCUGAGACUGGUGUCUCUGUUUUACAGAUGAGGAAACCGAAGCCCAGAAGGAUUCAGGAACUUGCUCAAGACCUCACAGCAUUGGCUACAGUGGCUCUGGCUGACACCCUUCUUGUCCAAGCCAGGAGUGGUCCCCGGAAGGUUUUCUCUGUUUCAGUGCCACAUGUGGGAUAUGGGACCUACUGCUGACAUGGGGCACCCUGGUGCCUGUGCCCCCAUGGGGACACCAUGAAGAGAGGUCCUACCCUCCCUCUGCCCUGCCUAGUUCUGCUGCUGCCCACUCAGCUUGAUGCCUACUGUUUUCAUCUUUUGUCUCAGAAAAUUCUGUCUCUUACUCUUCCAGUUGCCACUAAAAAUACUUAAACUCCUCUUCAACUAAUGCAGAGAGAGACAGCCACGUGGGUACUGCUGUCUUUGGCCUUAUUGCACAAAACUCCUCCAUGGGAGGGAACAGAUAAAUAGGACCCAGCUACCUUCACCAGCCUUGAGGCCAGGGCAUCGGUGAGAGAACACUUGUUAGUACCCCAAAGAUUAUCCUGCCACAGAAAGGGAGUGGCCUGCACCCCUAAACUAGUUCAGGUACAUCAGAGAGUGUGGGGUGAAGCUAUGAGGACUAUGUCCAACCUCCACCUGGUCCUCUGGGAGGAGUCCUGGAGAAGGAAAGAGCUACCGGGAGACAGGAGGAUAUUAACCAAACUUUUAAAAAUGGAAAAAGCAGGAGAUUCCAAAACUGACAGACUCAAACCUUGGUAACAUCUUUUGAAAAAAUAAAC